CGGGGCGUGGCGCAGCCCGGUAGCGCACCUGCUUUGGGAGCAGGAUGUCGGCGGUUCAAAUCCGCCCGCCCCGACCA
rnacentral:tRNA from 1 species